AUUCCAGCUCCAAUAGCGUAUAUUUAAGUUGUUGCAGUUAAAAAGCUCGUAGUUGGAUCUUGGGUCGUAAGGGUCGGUCCGCCUACUCGGUGUGCACCUGCCCUUCCGUCCCUUUUGUCGGCGGCGUGCUCCUGGCCUUAAUUGGCUGGGUCGCGGUUCCGGCGCUGUUACUUUGAAAAAAUUAGAGUGCUCAAAGCAAGCUUAUGCUCUGAAUACAUUAGCAUGGAAUAACGUGAUAGGAGUCUGGUCCUAUUGUGUUGGCCUUCGGGACCGGAGUAAUGAUUAAUAGGGACUGUCGGGGGCAUUCGUAUUUCAUUGUCAGAGGUGAAAUUCUUGGAUUUAUGAAAGACGGACCACUGCGAAAGCAUUUGCCAAGGAUGUUUUCAUCG
rnacentral:rRNA from 1 species